GUAGGUGGCAAGCGUUUGUCCGGAAUUAUUGGGCGUAAAAGCGCGCGCAGGCGGUUCUUUAAGUCUGAUGUGAAAGCCCACGGCUCAACCGUGGAGGGUCAUUGGAAACUGGAGAACUUGGGUACAGAAGAGGAAAGCGGAAUUACCACGUGUAGCGGUGAAAUGCGUAGAGAUGUGGAGGAACACCAGUGGCGAAGGCGGCUUUCUGGUCUGUAACUGACGCUGAGGCGCGAAAGCGUGGGGAGCAAACAGGGAUUAGAUACCCUGGUAGUCCACGCCGUAAACGAUGAGUGCUAAGUGUUAGGGGUUUCCCGCCCCUUAGUGCUGCAGCUAACGCAUUAAGCACUCCGCCUGGGGAGUACGCCGCAAGGCUG
rnacentral:rRNA from 1 species